GACGAGGGGUCCAAGCGUUGUUCGGAAUCAUUGGGCGUAAAGCGGGUGUAGGUGGCUCUGUAAGUCAGGAGUGAAAGCCCCGGGCUUAACUUGGGAAGUGCUUUUGAUACUGCAGAGCUUGAAUGUGGGAGAGGAUCGUGGAAUUCCAGGUGUAGUGGUGAAAUACGUAGAUAUCUGGAGGAACACCGGUGGCGAAGGCGGCGAUCUGGCCCAACAUUGACACUGAGACCCGAAAGCGCGGGGAUCAAACAGG
rnacentral:rRNA from 1 species